rnacentral:rRNA from 1 species
GACGAACGCUGGCGGCGUGCUUAACACAUGCAAGUCGAACGGUGAAGCGCCUUCCUUUUUGGUGGGUGUGGAUGAGUGGCGAACGGGUGAGUAACACGUGAGUAACCUGCCCCCUUCUUCUGGAUAACCGCAUGAAAGUGUGGCUAAUACGGGAUAUUCUGGGUCUGUCGCAUGAUGGGUCUGGGAAAGAUAUUGUUUCGGUGGGGGAUGGGCUCGCGGCCUAUCAGCUUGUUGGUGGGGUGAUGGCCUACCAAGGCGGUGACGGGUAGCCGGCCUGGGAGGGUGGACGGUCACACUGGGACUGAGACACGGCCCAGACUCCUACGGGAGGCAGCAGUGGGGAAUAUUGCACAAUGGGCGCAAGCCUGAUGCAGCGACGCCGCGUGGGGGAUGGAGGCCUUCGGGUUGUGAACCUCUUUCGCCAGUGAAGCAGGCCUGCCUCGUUUGUGGGUGGGUUGACGGUAGCUGGAGAAGAAGCGCCGGCUAACUACGUG